CACGUAGGGCGCAAGCGUUGUCCGGAAUUAUUGGGCGUAAAGAGCUCGUAGGCGGUCUGUUGCGUCCGCUGUGAAAACUCGGGGCUUAACCCCGAGCCUGCAGUGGAUACGGGCAGACUAGAGGUAGGUAGGGGAGAAUGGAAUUCCCGGUGUAGCGGUGAAAUGCGCAGAUAUCAGGAAGAACACCAGCGGCGAAGGCGGCACUCUGGGCUGGAAUUGACGCUGAGGAGCGAAAGUGUGGGUAGCAAACAGG
rnacentral:rRNA from 1 species